rnacentral:lncRNA from 1 species
AUAGUUGUUGCAACUCAUAUAUUAGUGGCUGAAGAAACACAUCAAGUGAUCUCUUAGGAUGCUCUGGUCCGGGAACGAGAAUCGAGAGAAACAAAAACUCUCGUCGCAAGCACAAGUUUGGGGGUAGGUUGUAUGGUGUAAGAAUGACGGGCCAUAGAGAAUACUGUCUUCCACUCUUGCCAAACGGACUGAAACCAUCAGUACAUAAUCCAAGGUAGACAUUUAUUCUCUCAUACGCAAAGUCGGGAUACUUUGAUUGGAAAUGCUUCCACGCUUUUGCAUCUGAAGGAUAUCUGAUCUCACCAUCUGUUGAGUGCUCCGCAUGCCAUCUCAUUGGUUGCGCUGUGCGUUCAGACAGAUACAACCUCUGC